CUGCAACCACACAGAAGCUUACUCAUUCCGUUUCCUGAAUCAGAGAGAAUAUUGAAGAGAAAUGUGGUUUUGAACAGAUGAGAAACCUCUAGCUUAAGUCUGAGAUCGUCCUCUUCCUUGUCGCGUCUGUCUCUAUCCUCAGCGAAUAUCUGGAUUAAACUAUCUUGUUCUUUCUUCGUUUCUUCUAACUCGUCUUUUGUUGUUUGUAACUUCAAUAACCAAAAGGAAUCCAUUGGUUAAGAGUGUUGUCAUAGGUUUGCAGGCAGACAUAGUAGAACUUACCUCGGCUUCAAGUUUCUUGCGUAGCUCUUUCUCACGUUUCAGCUCGUCUUUCAAUAACAGGAAAACUUCUUCUUUUUGAUUUAGACUGAGAUAAAGAAUACACAGCUUCCAGUGAGAAACAUGAAUCGUAUAGGCAAAUUAACAUGGUGAGUAUGGUGACAAACCUUUCUUUUAACUCUUCAUUCUCUUGUUCUAAUUGACUAAGGGUACGUGAACCAGACCGAGGCUUGUGUAGUUCGGAACUCUGCAAGAAGAUGUACAAAAAGAUUAUGUUCUCAAUCCAAUUCACCAGAGAAAGCGUAUAGAUAGGGAGAGAAAAAAAAGGAGCAUGUACCUUCUCGGGAAGCUCAGUGACAAUUCUUUCAGAAGAAGAAGAAUCAUCAUCACUAUUGGUUAACUCUACAGCACCAGCACGAGCUCCUCGAGGCUUUGCUCGUUUGUUAGACUUGGAAGAGGUGUUUUCAACUUUACCACCGUUCUCUGAUUUAACAGAUCCUUUUCCUUCUAGAUUCACAUUUGAUCUUGAGCCGAAUUUUUCGGAAGCUGCAGCUGGAGUUUUGAAGCUCGAAGCGGCAGUUCUUUUCCUUGAUGAGGCCGAUCCUUUAGGAACAUAUUCUGGUGAUGAUUCUACAAUGUUGAAAACAUUUCCAAGAGAUUGUUCAGCACAAGUUAAAAACUUCGAUGUUAAAA
rnacentral:lncRNA from 1 species